rnacentral:rRNA from 1 species
GCCCUAGUAACGGCGAGUGAAGCGGCAACAGCUCAAAUUUGAAAUCUGGCUCCUUCCGGGGUCCGAGUUGUAAUUUGUAGAGGGUGCUUUGGCGUCGGCCAUGGUCUAAGUUCCUUGGAACAGGGCGUCACAGAGGGUGAGAAUCCCGUACGUGGCCGCUGGCCUUCGCCAUGUAAAGCCCCUUCGACGAGUCGAGUUGUUUGGGAAUGCAGCUCUAAAUGGGAGGUAAAUUUCUUCUAAAGCUAAAUAUUGGCCAGAGACCGAUAGCGCACAAGUAGAGUGAUCGAAAGAUGAAAAGCACUUUGGAAAGAGAGUCAAAAAGCACGUGAAAUUGUUGAAAGGGAAGCGCUUGCAGCCAGACUUGCCCGUAGUUGCUCAUCCAGGCUUCGGCCUGGUGCACUCUUCUGCGGGCAGGCCAGCAUCAGUCCAGGCGGUCGGAUAAAGGUCCCGGGAAUGUGGCUCUCUUCGGGGAGUGUUAUAGCCCGGGGCGCAAUGCGGCCAGCUUGGACUGAGGUCCGCGCAUCUGCUAGGAUGCUGGCGUAAUGGCUGUAAGCGGCCCGUCUUGAAACACGGACCAAGGAGUCUAACAUCUAUGCGAGUGUUUGGGUGUCAAGCCCGAGCGCGUAAUGAAAGUGAACGGAGGUGGGAACCCGCAAGGGCGCACCAUCGACCGAUCCUGAUGUCUUCGGAUGGAUUUGAGUAAGAGCAUAGCUGUUGGGACCCGAAAGAUGGUGAACUAUGCCUGAAUAGGGUGAAGCCAGAGGAAACUCUGGUGGAGGCUCGCAGCGGUUCUGACGUGCAAAUCGAUCGUCAAAUUUGG